CCUGCCCAGUGAUCUUUAAUUAUAAAUUUAAAAGAUAAAUAAUAAGAUUAAAAGGACGCGGUAACCUUGACCGUGAUAAUGUAGCAUAAUCAUUCGCCACUUAAUUGGUGGAUAGUAUGAAUGGUUGAACGAAUAUUCCACUGUCUUAAAGAAAAUUAAAAAAAAUUGAAAUAAUAGUUAAGAUGCUAUUUUAAACUGUAAGACGAAAAGACCCUAUAGAGCUUAACUAUAAUCUCUAUAUUAAAAUAUAAAAAUUAAUUUAUUAAUUAUAGAGACUGGUAGUUUAGUUGGGGCGACUAUCUUCUAAAUAUAACGAAGAUUAGCAAUGUUAAUAAAAAACUUAUUGUAUAAUAAAAAUAUUUAACAAUUAUUAUAAUAGGCUAUAAUGACCCGUUAAUUCUAAUAAAAAAGAUUAACGAUCAAUUGAUAAAAGCUACCUUAGGGAUAACAGGAUAAUUUCAUUUUAGAGUUCCCAUCGAAAAUGAAGUUUGUCACCUCUAUGUUGAAUUAAGAUAUCCUGGUAAUGCAGC
rnacentral:rRNA from 1 species